AAACUAACAUUAGCGACGGCGUAAAGUGUGGUAACAUGCUAUCCAAGUAACUAAGAUCAAAAAGCAGCUGAGUUGUCACAAGCCCAAGAUGCGUAUAAGGCCGCUAUUCAAAGAAAAUCUUAGACCAACGAUUAAUUGAAGCCACGAAAGCCAGGACCCAAACUGGGAUUAGAUACCCCACUAUGCCUGGCCCUAAAUCUUGGUGCUCGAUCUAACCGGAGCAUCCGCCUGAGAACUACGAGCAUAAACGCUUAAAACUCUAAGGACUUGGCGGUGCUCCACACCCACCUAGAGGAGCCUGUUCUGUAAUCGAUGAUCCACGAUAUACCUAACCAUCUCUUGCACGAAACAGCCUAUAUACCGCCGUCUCCAGCCCACCCACCAUGAAGGCCCAACAGU
rnacentral:rRNA from 1 species